UGGAGGCAGCAGUGAGGAAUCUUCCACAAUGGGCGCAAGCCUGAUGGAGCGACGCCGCGUGCGCGAAGAAGCCCUUCGGGGUGUAAAGCGCUUUUCCCAGGGAUGAAGCUCUGACAGUACCUGGGGAAGAAGCCUCGGCUAACUACGUGCCAGCAGCCGCGGUAAUACGUAGGAGGCAAGCGUUGUCCGGAAUCACUGGGCGUAAAGCGCGUGUAGGUGGUACGACAAGUCUGCUGUGAAAGCGCCUGGCUUAACCGGGCGAGGUCGGCGGAAACUGUCGCACUUGAGGACGGUAGAGGGGGGUGGAAUUCCCGGUGUAGUGGUGAAAUGCGUAGAGAUCGGGAGGAACACCUGUGGCGAAGGCGGCCCCCUGGGCCGGCCCUGACACUGAGACGCGAAGGCGUGGGGAGCGAACGGGAUUAGAUACCCGCGUAGUCCG
rnacentral:rRNA from 1 species